rnacentral:rRNA from 1 species
UGGGGAAUAUUGCACAAUGGGCGAAAGCCUGAUGCAGCGACGCCGCGUGAGGGAUGACGGCCUUCGGGUUGUAAACCUCUUUCAGCAGGGACGACGCGCAAGUGACGGUACCUGCAGAAGAAGCACCGGCUAACUACGUGCCAGCAGCCGCGGUAAUACGUAGGGUGCAAGCGUUGUCCGGAAUUACUGGGCGUAAAGAGUUCGUAGGCGGUUUGUCGCGUCGUUUGUGAAAACCAGCAGCUCAACUGCUGGCUUGCAGGCGAUACGGGCAGACUUGAGUACUGCAGGGGGGAGUGGAAUUCCUGGUGUAGCGGUGAAAUGCGCAGAUAUCAGGAGGAACACCGGUGGCGAAGGGGGGUCGCUGGGCAGUAACUGACGCUGAGGAACGAAAGCGUGGGUAGCGAACAGG